rnacentral:rRNA from 1 species
CCUACGGGAGGCAGCAGUAGGGAAUUUUCGGCAAUGGGGGGAACCCUGACCGAGCAACGCCGCGUGAACGAAGAAGUUAUUCGUAAUGUAAAGUUCUUUUAACAGGGAAGAAAGAGAAAUUUGACGGUACCUGAAGAAUAAGCUCCGGCUAACUACGUGCCAGCAGCCGCGGUAAUACGUAGGGAGCGAGCGUUAUCCGGAAUUAUUGGGCGUAAAGGGUGCGUAGAUGGCAUAGUAAGUCUUUUGUAAAAAUGCUGGGCUCAACCCAGUAGGGCAAAAGAUACUGCAAAGCUAGAGUAUGACAGAGGCAAGUGGAACUACAUGUGUAGCGGUAAAAUGCGUAAAUAUAUGUAAGAACACCAGUGGCGAAGGCGGCAUACCGGUGCACAACUGACGCUCAGGCACGAAAGCGUGGGUAUCGAACAGGAUUAGAUACCCCUGUAGUC